rnacentral:rRNA from 1 species
GUGAAAUUGAACUCGCUGUGAAGAUGCAGUGUACCCGCGGCAAGACGGAAAGACCCCGUGAACCUUUACUAUAGCUUGACACUGAACAUUGAGCCUUGAUGUGUAGGAUAGGUGGGAGGCUUUGAAGCGUGGACGCCAGUCUGCGUGGAGCCGACCUUGAAAUACCACCCUUUAAUGUUUGAUGUUCUAACGUGGACCCGUUACCCGGGUUGCGGACAGUGUCUGGUGGGUAGUUUGACUGGGGCGGUCUCCUCCUAAAGAGUAACGGAGGAGCACGAAGGUUGGCUAAUCCUGGUCGGACAUCAGGAGGUUAGUGCAAUGGCAUAAGCCAGCUUGACUGCGAGCGUGACGGCGCGAGCAGGUGCGAAAGCAGGUCAUAGUGAUCCGGUGGUUCUGAAUGGAAGGGCCAUCGCUCAACGGAUAAAAGGUACUCCGGGGAUAACAGGCUGAUACCGCCCAAGAGUUCAUAUCGACGGCGGUGUUUGGCACCUCGAUGUCGGCUCAUCACAUCCUGGGGCUGAAGUAGGUCCCAAGGGUAUGGCUGUUCGCCAUUUAAAGUGGUACGCGAGCUGGGUUUAGAACGUCGUGAGACAGUUCGGUCCCUAUCUGCCGUGGGCGCUGGAGAACUGAGGGGGGCUGCUCCUAGUACGAGAGGACCGGAGUGGACGCAUCACUGGUGUUCGGGUUGUCAUGCCAAUGGCACUGCCCGGUAGCUAAAUGCGGAAGAGAUAAGUGCUGAAAGCAUCUAAGCACGAAACUUGCCCCGAGAUGAGUUCUCCCUGAGACUUAGAGUCUCCUGAAGGAACGUUGAAGACGACGACGUUGAUAGGCCGGGUGUGUAAGCGCAGCGAUGCGUUGAGCUAACCGGUACUAAUGAACCGUGAGGCUUAACCUUACAACGCCGAAG